CAAUAGCGUAUAUUAAAGUUGUUGCAGUUAAAAAGCUCGUAGUUGAACUUCUGUAUACUCUCAGUUGUGGCUGCGGUCAGGCUGUCGAGUGUGCAUCCGCUUGCAAACUCUUGUCGGCCUUAACUGGUUGCUUGAGGGAGUAAGCCUUUUACUUUGAAAAAAUUAGAGUGUUUCAGGCAGGCUUUGGCUCGAAUAUAUUAGCAUGGAAUAAUGGAAUAGGACUUUUGUCCAUUUUGUUGGUUAUUGGACUAGAGUAAUGAUUAACAGGGACAGUUGGGGGCAUUAGUAUUUAAUUGUCAGAGGUGAAAUUCUUGGAUUUAUUAAAGACUAACUUAUGCGAAAGCAUUUGCCAAGGAUGUUUUCAUUAA
rnacentral:rRNA from 1 species